rnacentral:rRNA from 1 species
AAGAAAUUAACGAAGAUUUCCUGAGUAACGGCGAGUGAAAAGGAAAUAGUUCAGCGCUGAAUCCCUUUGCCUAUGGUUAAGGGACCUGUAGCGUGAAGGAGAGCCUAUCUGUUGGGUUUUCUACCUCGGAAGCUCCCUUGAAUGGGACCCCGAAGCAGGUGCGAGGCCUGUAACGAGGUGAAGCCCAUCAGUUUGCGCCUCCGUAGAGUCGGGUUACUUGAGAGUGUAGCCCUAAGCGGAAGGUAAACCCCUUCUAAAACUAAAUAUCACCACGAGACCGAUAGCGAACAAGUACCGCGAGGGAAAGUUGAAAAGAACUUUGAAGAGAGAGUUCAAAAGGGCGUGAAACCGCUUAGAAUAAAACGGACGGAGCCGUCAGAGGCCUUUGGGAAUCAGUCGUAAGAUUUCGCGAAAGUACUUUGGUUCGGAACGCAAGUCCGACCUCGGUGCUAGUAGUAGCAAUCAUGCGGCGCAUUUCCUGAAGGUAUGCACUGCGACCGAUACGAAAGGCCAGUGAAGCGAUUGGAUUGAGGUCCAGACCCGCGAGGGACUGGCUACCAGUCUUUUCGUCUCGAAUCACUGGACCGCAGUAUGUAUCGAGUGCCAUGCGAAAUACGCCGGCGUAAACGCUCAUCGAGCGGUGGAUAGUUGGCUGAUUAGUUGGUUCCUGCUCGCAGGGCCUAGCCGAUCUAGUCAUUCUAUGAAAUCGCCAGUGACUUCGGCGUAUAGGCGUCAGCAGUGUCAGUGUCGGCCACCCGUCCGACCCGUCUUGAAACACGGACCAAGGAGUCUAACAUAUGCGCGAGCCAAUGGGUGGAAAACCCACAGGCGCAAUAAAAGUAAAGGCUGUUUCGGACAGCUGAGAUACGAUCCUAAGCGUCCUGAAAAGGCCUUGGGCGCAGUAUCGUCCCAUCUAAACGGCACGUCCGUUGGGUGGAGAUAGAGUGCAUACGUUGGGACCCGAAAGAUGGUGAACUAUGCCUGAGCAGAGCGAAGCCAGAGGAAACUCUGGUGGAGGUUCGUAGCGGUUCUGACGUGCAAAUCGAUCGUCAGACUUGGGUAU